GGACUCUUGGCUCAGCUGGUAGAGCGUCUCAUUUACACUGAGAAGGUCAGAGGUUCGAAUCCUCUAGAGUCACA
rnacentral:tRNA from 1 species